rnacentral:rRNA from 1 species
AAAAGCUACUAAGAGCACACGGAGGAUGCCUUGGUACAUGGAGGCGAAGAAGGACGUGGUAAGCUGCGAUAAGCUUCGGGGAGGUGCACACAACUGCUAAUCCGGAGAUUUCCGAAUGGGGCAACCCGUUUUGAGUUAUAUCAAAACACUUUCAUCUGAAUAUAUAGGAUGAAAAGAGCUAACGAGGUGAACUGAUACAUCUAAGUAACCUUAGGAAUAGAAAACAAAAGUGAUUCCCCUAGUAGUGGCGAACGAAAAGGGAAGAGCCCAAACUAAUACUGUGUCAAGUCUGCAAAUUUUGCAGUAUUAGGGUUGUGGGAUUAUUAUUAAUCCAAUUGCAGUUGGAUUGACAAGUCAAAAAAUAAAAUGUUAACAAAAUAAUUUGGAAAGAUUAACCAUAGAAGGUGAUAGUCCUGUAUGUGAAAACAUUUUAUCUUGUCUUAAUAAUUCCCGAGUAGGACGGAACACGUGAAAUUCUGUUUGAAUCUACCAAGACCACUUGGUAAGGCUAAAUACUCCCAUGUAACCGAUAGUGAACUAGUACCGUGAGGGAAAGGUGAAAAGUAAUCCGAGAGGAUAGUGAAAUAGAACCUGAAACUGUGUGUUUACAAGCGGUCAGAGUUCAGCUUGCUGAACGAUGGCGUGCCUUUUGCAUAAUGAGCCAGCGAGUUAGUCGUAUGCUGCUAGGUUAAGUAUUGUUAAAUACGGAGCCGAAGGGAAACCGAGUCUGAACAGGGCGAAUCAGUAUCAUGCGCUAGACCCGAAACCGGGUGAUCUAUCCAUGGACAGGUUGAAAUUUCAGUAACAUGAAAUGGAGGACCGAACCCACUAAAGUUGAAAAUUUAGGGGAUGAUCUGUGGAUCGGAGUGAAAGGCUAAUCAAACUCGGAGAUAUCUGGUUCUCGUCGAAAUGUCUUUAGGGACAGCGUUAAAGUAGUGUACCGGGGGUAGAGCACUGGAUGGACUAGGGGGCCUACAAGCUUACCAAACCCAACUAAACUCCGAAUACCGGAUACAUGAUCUUUAGCAGUGAGGCUAGGGGGGAUAAGCUUCUUAGCCGAGAGGGAAACAACCCAGACCAACAUCUAAGGUCCCAAAAUCUAUACUAAGUGAUUUAAGGAUGUCAAAUCGCCCAGACAGCUAGGAGGUUGGCUUAGAAGCAGCAAUCCUUUAAAGAAAGCGUAAUAGCUCACUAGUCAAGGGGUUUGGCGCCGAUAAUAACCGGGACUGAAAAGUAUAGUACCGAAGAUUUGGAUUUAGUAAUAAAUGGUAGACGAGCGUUCUAUUAACCGUUGAAGGUUGAUCCGUGAGGACAGCUGGAGGAGAUAGAAGUGAGUAUGCUGGCAUGAGUAGCGAUAAACACAGUGAAAUUCUGUGUCACCGAAAACCCAAGGUUUCCUGAGUAAAGCAAAUCUGCUCAGGGUUAGUCGGACCCUAAGCCGAGGCCGAAAGGCGUAGGCGAUGGAAAACGGGCUUAAUAUUCCCGUACCAGUAUAUAUUUGUUUGAACUAUGGGGUAACGGAGAAAUGAAAGAUCAGCCAGGUUUUGAUUGUCCUGGUUUAAGUACGUAGGAAGUUUCAAUAGGUAAAUCCGUUGAAACAAUUCUGAAAUACGAAUAGGAGGGCCUAGCCCACAAACUGAUCCUAAUUAUGCUUCCAAGAAAAACCUCUAUGUUAGAAUAUAAGCUGACCGUACUGUAAACGGACACACGUGGGUGAGGAGAGUAUCCUAAGGUGCUUGAGUGAUUCUAGGUUAAGGAACUAGGCAAAUUGGCCCCGUAACUUCGGGAGAAGGGGUGCCUUUCUUUGAAAGGCCGCAGUGAAAAGGCGCGAGCGACUGUUUAGCAAAAACACAGGUCUCUGCUAAGUCAUAAGACGAAAUAUAGGGACUGACACCUGCCCGGUGCCGGAAGGUUAAAUGGAGAUGUCAAUCUGCUUCGGCGGAUGAAGCUUUGAAAUGAAGCCCCGGUAAACGGCGGCCGUAACUAUAACGGUCCUAAGGUAGCGAAAUUCCUUGUCGGGUAAGUUCCGACCUGCACGAAUGGUGUAACGACUUGCGCACUGUCUCAACCUAGAGCUCAGCGAAAUUGAAGUGUCGGUGAAGAUGCCGGCUACCCGCAGCAGGACGAAAAGACCCCGUG